GACGAACGCUGGCGGCGUGCUUAACACAUGCAAGUCGAGCGGUAAGGCCCUUUCGGGGGUACACGAGCGGCGAACGGGUGAGUAACACGUGGGUGACCUGCCCUCCAGCUCUGGGAUAAGCCUGGGAAACCGGGUACUAAUACCGGAUAUGACUCCAUGACGCAUGUUGUGGGGUGGAAAGCCUUGUGCGGCUGAGGAUGGGCCCGCGGCCUAUCAGCUUGUUGGUGGGGUGAUGGCCUACCAAGGCGACGACGGGUAGCCGGCCUGAGAGGGCGACCGGCCACACUGGGACUGAGACACGGCCCAGACUCCUACGGGAGGCAGCAGUGGGGAAUCUUGCGCAAUGGGCGAAAGCCUGACGCAGCGACGCCGCGUGAGGGAUGACGGCC
rnacentral:rRNA from 1 species